rnacentral:tRNA from 1 species
GCUUAAGUAGCUUAAAUUAAAAGCCUAAUAUUGAAGAUAUUAUUAUGGGGUUAUACCCCUUGAGCA